rnacentral:rRNA from 1 species
UAGGGAGUCUUCGGCAAUGGACGAAAGUCUGACCGAGCAACGCCGCGUGAGUGAAGAAGGUUUUCGGAUCGUAAAACUCUGUUGGUAGAGAAGAACGUUGGUGAGAGUGGAAAGCUCAUCAAGUGACGGUAACUACCCAGAAAGGGACGGCUAACUACGUACCAG